AACAACAAAAGACAACAAAGGAACCAGGAGGAGAGAAAAGAAAGCAAAUAUACCUGUAGCAAGUUUUCUCAUAAUGUUUCAUCAGUUCUCUCUUUUUUUUCUC
rnacentral:ribozyme from 14 species